rnacentral:rRNA from 1 species
GUGUCAGCCGCCGCGGUAAUACGAAGGGGGCUAGCGUUGUUCGGAGUUACUGGGCGUAAAGGGCGCGUAGGCGGCGCACCAAGUCAGGCGUGAAAGCCCUGGGCUCAACCCGGGAAUUGCGCUUGAGACUGGUGUGCUUGAGUACGGGAGAGGAUAGUGGAAUUCCCAGUGUAGAGGUGAAAUUCGUAGAUAUUGGGAAGAACACCGGUGGCGAAGGCGGCUAUCUGGACCGUAACUGACGCUGAGGCGCGAAAGCGUGGGGAGCAAACAGGAUUAGAUACCCUGGUAGUCC